CAGGUGGUCAGGUAGAGAAUACCAAGGCGCUUGAGAGAACUCGGGUGAAGGAACUAGGCAAAAUGGUGCCGUAACUUCGGGAGAAGGCACGCUGACACGUAGGUGAAGUGGUUUACCCAUGGAGCUGAAGUCAGUCGAAGAUACCAGCUGGCUGCAACUGUUUAUUAAAAACACAGCACUGUGCAAACACGAAAGUGGACGUAUACGGUGUGACGCCUGCCCGGUGCCGGAAGGUUAAUUGAUGGGGUCAGCGCAAGCGAAGCUCCUGAUCGAAGCCCCGGUAAACGGCGGCCGUAACUAUAACGGUCCUAAGGUAGCGAAAUUCCUUGUCGGGUAAGUUCCGACCUGCACGAAUGGCGUAAUGAUGGCCAGGCUGUCUCCACCCGGGACUCAGUGAAAUUGAACUCGCUGUGAAGAUGCAGUGUACCCGCGGCAAGACGGAAAGACCCCGUGAACCUUUACUAUAGCUUGACACUGAACACUGGUCCUUGAUGUGCAGGAUAGGUGGGAGGCUUUGAAGUGUGGACGCCAGUCUGCAUGGAGCCGACCUUGAAAUACCACCCUUUAAUGGCUGGUGUUCUAACGUGGGCCCGUGAACCGGGUUGCGGACAGUGUCUGGUGGGUAGUUUGACUGGGGCGGUCUCCUCCUAAAGAGUAACGGAGGAGCACGAAGGUUGGCUAAUCCUGGUCGGACAUCAGGAGGUUAGUGCAAUGGCAUAAGCCAGCUUGACUGCGAGCGUGACGGCGCGAGCAGGUGCGAAAGCAGGUCAUAGUGAUCCGGUGGUUCUGAAUGGAAGGGCCAUCGCUCAACGGAUAAAAGGUACUCCGGGGAUAACAGGCUGAUACCGCCCAAGAGUUCAUAUCGACGGCGGUGUUUGGCACCUCGAUGUCGGCUCAUCACAUCCUGGGGCUGAAGUAGGUCCCAAGGGUAUGGCUGUUCGCCAUUUAAAGUGGUACGCGAGCUGGGUUUAGAACGUCGUGAGACAGUUCGGUCCCUAUCUGCCGUGGGCGCUGGAAGAUUGAGGGGGGCUGCUCCUAGUACGAGAGGACCGGAGUGGACGCAUCACUGGUGUUCGGGUUGUCAUGCCAAUGGCACUGCCCGGUAGCUACAUGCGGAAGAGAUAAGUGCUGAAAGCAUCUAAGCACGAAACUUGCCCCGAGAUGAAUCUUCCCUGAGCCUUUAAGGCUCCUGAAGGAACGUUGAAGACGACGACGUUGAUAGGCCG
rnacentral:rRNA from 1 species